CUUAGUAGCGGCGAGUGAAGCGGCAAUAGCUCAAAUUUUGAAAUCUUGGCACCUUCGGUGUCCGAGUUGUAAUUUGAAGAAGGUAUCUUUGGUUUUGGCUCUUGUCUAUGUUCCUUGGAACAGGACGUCACAGAGGGUGAGAAUCCCGUGCGAUGAGAUGCCCAAUUCCAUGUAAAGUUCCUUCGACGAGUCGAGUUGUUUGGGAAUGCAGCUCUAAGUGGGUGGUAAAUUCCAUCUAAAGCUAAAUAUUGGCGAGAGACCGAUAGCGAACAAGUACUGUGAAGGAAAGAUGAAAAGAACUUUGAAAAGAGAGUGAAAAAGUACGUGAAAUUGUUGAAAGGGAAGGGCUUGAGAUCAGACUUGGAAUUUUCCAGUAAUGGAGCUUUCCGGGCCAGCAUCAGUUUGGAUGGCAGGAUAAUUGCGUAGAAAAGUAGCUCUACUUUCGGUGGAGUGUUAUAGUCUGCGUCGAUACUGCCUGUCUAGACUGAGGACUGCGUCUUUGACUAGNGAUGCUGGCAUAAUGAUCUUAAGCCGCCCGUCUUG
rnacentral:rRNA from 1 species